rnacentral:rRNA from 1 species
GACGAACGCUGGCGGCGUGCUUAACACAUGCAAGUCGAGCGGAAAGGCCCUGCUUUUGUGGGGUGCUCGAGUGGCGAACGGGUGAGUAACACGUGAGUAACCUGCCCUUGACUUUGGGAUAACUUCAGGAAACUGGGGCUAAUACCGGAUAGGAGCUCCUGCUGCAUGGUGGGGGUUGGAAAGUUUCGGCGGUUGGGGAUGGACUCGCGGCUUAUCAGCUUGUUGGUGGGGUAGUGGCUUACCAAGGCUUUGACGGGUAGCCGGCCUGAGAGGGUGACCGGCCACAUUGGGACUGAGAUACGGCCCAGACUCCUACGGGAGGCAGCAGUGGGGAAUAUUGCACAAUGGGCGGAAGCCUGAUGCAGCAACGCCGCGUGCGGGAUGAUGGCCUUCGGGUUGUAAACCGCUUUCGCCUGUGACGAAGCGUGAGUGACGGUAAUGGGUAAAGAAGCACCGGCUAACUACGUG